UAUCCGCCAGGGUACUACGAGCACAGCUUAAAACCCAAAGGACUUGGCGGUGCUUCAGAUCCACCUAGAGGAGCCUGUUCUAGAACCGAUAAUCCUCGUUAAACCUCACCACUUCUUGUUAAUCCCGCCUAUAUACCACCGUCGUCAGCUUACCCUGUGAAGGGAUAAUAGUAAACAAAAUGGGCACACCCCAAAACGUCAGGUCGAGGUGUAGCGCACGAAGUGGGAAGAAAUGGGCUACAUUUUCUAAUUAUAGAAUAUUACGAACGGCACCAUGAAAAAGAUGCCCGAAGGAGGAUUUAGCAGUAAAAGAAACAGAG
rnacentral:rRNA from 1 species